CUCUCCUCUUGAGAAGAGACUUACUAAGAGACUAACUUUUGUCGUUUCUUUGGUUUUUUUAAAUUGUUGCGUGACGGUACCAUGGUACGGUGAAGGCAGCAGAUGGUAUACCAGAUGUUUAUCAUGAUGAACGAAGGUCUUACAGGUGUGAAAUGACAUGAAGAGUUGUUGGAAGCUCAGUGUGGCAAGCAGAGUGGGUGUCAAGAGCCGUGGGCCACACCUGACACGAGUCCCAUGGAGGAGCUCCAGAAGUAUAAAAGGAGGAGUGACGACAGUGAAGGACGAGAGAAGACCAGGCCUGGACGUUAACAGGGAUGAGGCCUUGGGUCUCUCACAUGACUGCGCUGCAGGACAGAGCCCGAGGUGGAAGCCAGUCUGUCUGGACAGCGGCUGAAAUCUGAUGACAGCCGCUGAGAGCAGGUGCUGCCAAACGCCGGCCCGCUGCCGAGACGAGGUCAAACAGGACUCGUUACGCGCUGCUUGUAUCCCGCCUUACGUUCCUCAGAUCUGAUGAGACAAGGAUCCAGGAACAGCUCAUUAGCCUGCAGGAGAGAGAGAUUUAGUUCCAAUCCGCUCUCGUUUGGCCUCUAAAACAGUGAUCCAGUGUGCUUAAUGGACUCUGUGUAAUAGCUGCAGGGCUGAAGCACACUACUGUCAAAUGCACAUCUAUUUUCAUUUUUAGCAGUUUUAGCAAAUGAACUCUGUCGAUGGCACUGAUAUCAUGGUGCUUGUGUGGCUCAGUUGUUUGUUUAUUUUCUGUAGCUAUUAUAAAUUAGUUUAAAUUGUUAUUUUCAGUGUUGGGGAAAGUUAAUUUUAAAAGUAAUGCAUUACAAUAUUGCUUUACACCCUAAAAAGUAACUAAUUGCAUUACUUUGUUACUUUUUUAUGGAAAGUAAUGAGUUAGAAUUACUUUUUUCUCAUCUGGGCUGGGCUUGAACAAAAAGUUCAAAAGGCCCUUUUACAUCUAAAGUGAAAUGAAUAAGCCUCAGGCUGAAGGAAAUUAAAAUUAACGCCUGUACAGUAGAGGGCGCAGCUCAAACAAACCUGUCAGCUGUGCUGCCAUUUCUGGAUUGCAGAAGAAUAGGGGUGCUUAUCAUUUCUAUUUUGUGCAUCCUUGGCUGCGUUCCAGUCCACUUUUAGACACGUACUCGCAAACUUCCCUAAGCACUUCCCCUCGGGGUAAUCCCUGCCACCGUUUUUCAAGUGCGUUCCACUUCAUGAAGUGGACAAGGGAAGUUUAUAUGGACAGACACUCGCUCCCUUGUGAGUCUACUUCAUAUGUACACUUCAAGCAGCUCCGUAUACCACAAUGCAACACGAUUGUGAUGUCACCGCAUAUCGCGUUUAAUUUACCCCACCACAAACAACUUUAUGAUAUAUUAUCAUUCCUGGCCUCCUCGUGGUGCAAUUAGAAAAUUGAGAUGUCCUUCAAAAUGGCUGAAUUCGAGAGACAGAGGCUGCAUCUGAAAUGCAUACUUCUUUUGUCACAUAUUGAAAUCGCAUACUUCGCUACUAUAUAGUAGGUGAAAAACAGUAUGUGACAAAGGAAGUAUGUCUGAAUUAAUAGUACUCAUAAAAGAGUAGGCAAAAAGUACCUGGAUGACCUACUUCUUCUGGCAAGGUUCGGAAGUGUGCAUACAAUGGACACUUUACUAUCCCAUGAGGCCACGGGAGAGGAUUUGUGAAUGGUGGUGAAGCAACGCACCUGCGCUGGUAGAUCAUACAAUAAUGACAACAUGGCGAAUGUAGUACGUCCGGAUUACAAUCAUACUACACACAUUCAUACUAUAUAGAAUGUACUCUUUUUUAACAGUUGUGAAGUAAUUACUUAUUCAAAAUAAGUACCUAUUCAGGAGAGUAUGCGAUUUUGUACACAGCCGCUCUAAAAACAACAUCAACAACAACAACAACAACAACACAAAAAAAAAAUGUGAUGUUUAACUAAAGUAAUUUUUGCUUAUUCAUAUGGUUGAAUUGGAUCAUGAAAGGUCAGCAGCAAAAAAAAAAAAAAAAAAAAAUGUAACUGAAAAUUACACAUCCAAGCACCUCUCAAAUGUUCUUUUAAAAUGUAAAAAAGUAGUUUAUAUACAUAUUUUUGAACAUGUUUAGUUUAAUUCACUGAAGGUGAAAUUCUGUGUUUAUCAAACAGAACUAAAAGAGGAUACCGUUAACAAAUAAAUGUGCAUUUCCCUCAGUGCCUAUUUCUAGUGAAAAUUCACUAUUGAGGCUAUUGAAUUGGAGUGUGGAUGGUGAUGACACUGCAUAUUAAUUACAGACCAACACUUUCAACUGUCUGUAAGGUUGAAAUGUGAGAGGUUUAUGUUGGUCCUUCUUGACACCUCUAGCUCAACAGUGAAUGUCUCUCAUAGUGUGGUCAUUGAGAGCUGCGAUAAAUCUAACACAUUAAUCUCUAACAGCUGUUUGGGUUUACAGCUCUUGGCAACAAGCAUGGAGAAUGUCCCACUUCAACAGACACCUGAUAUAGGAAUGAGACCUGUCAAUCACCUGUCUGUGUGUAAACUAUCUGAGUUCUGAGAUAUGAUGCUGUGCUGAGUGAGAGAGUGUGUGUGUGUGUGUGUGUGUGUGUGUGUGUGUGUGUGCGUGCGUGUGUGUGUGUGUGUUUGAACUAAAGAAGAAGCUUGAUAUUUUAUUCAAGCUUCAGGCCCUCAUCAAAACGUUUCAUUAAGUUCUCUUUCCUCACACUGAGAGGUAAACAUGUGGAGAGGAGAGAAAUUAACAAGAUUUUAACUCAUACUGUGAGUCUCAGGACUCUCACAGUAAUACAUAUACAAGUCUUACAAUUCCAGUUACACCCAUUAGUGUGAAACAUUAAUUUUCAGUCAAAAGGCAUGCAUUGUCUAUUAACUCUUUCAGUGAGGCUAACCAGGGGUUUGAAUUCCAACCUAACAUCAAGUAAAGAUAGUUUAUGGGCAUGAUGGGCAUUAAAAUUUUGAUAUUUUGAUACUUUAAUUGCAUUCCAAGUAAAAAUAUAUAGAAUAAUAAUAAUAAUUUUUGAGUGACAUGAGGGUAGACGGUUUCUCCCACAAAGACACCUUUUUUUUUUUUUUUUUGUCUUAAGUCUAAAGGUUAAGUUUACCUUCAUGAGUAUCUCAGUAGAACAUUUGUAAAGUUGUAAGCUUUUAAUGUUAUUUUGUAUUAUUGCUUUAACAAUUAUUAUAUUAACACUAACAUGCAUUGCAUUUAUUAGAUUUUAAUAAAAGUACUGUACUGGAUUUCUGCAGUGCUGCUCAUUAAGCACUGGUGUCUUCUGCCAUCUAGUGUAGAGAUAAAGAUACUGCAACACCAGAUUAUAGCUAAAUAAUUUGGUCUAUGUGAUAAAAACUAUUACUUUUGCUUCAAGUCAUUUCAUCUUGUUUUAUAGAAUUUUGCAUAUUUUUACUGGAUAAAUAGACUUGAUCGAUUUUUGCAGCUAUAGUCUAAUUAGGAGGGACUUCAAACCAACUAAAAUGGGAAACAAGGCCUGAGACACAUCUCUGCAUUUCCCUCUCUUGUCCUCCUUUCUGACUUAAAGCUGAUAUGAAACGGAAGUUUCAUUUUCUUUUGUAUUGUGACGUAAAUCAUCCAAAUGAAACGGCUUCUAGAACAAGAAUAAAAAAAAAAAUGUAGGAUUGAAAUUGAUUUUGUCUAAAGGGAAUUGAUUGGAUGGUUGUAGUUUGCUAUUGAUGCAAUCUGAUGUGAGUGACAGGUUGCCAUGCCUUUGCUCCGAAUAACAAAUCAUCAAAGAGAUGUCAUUGCAAGAAGGAUGGAAAGUUAUUUUGAUUAAAGUUUACGAUUUGCUUCCAGAUUGUGUAGUUACAGAAUCUACCAACAGGGGCUAAUGGGUUCAUACUAACCAGACAAACCUUUGACCCCUUGGUUAUGGUAAAAAGACAAAUUUGCAGUUAAAUUUUCUAAUCACUGGGGGGAACUAGAGAGCUUUGCACAAAAUCAGCUCAGCUCAGAUAUACCUGAUCAAUAACAUGCAAAAAUCCUGACUCAGAACAGCAGUCUGGUGUUCCACUGGGUUCAGUCAUUAAUAAUCUUCUGAUCUGCUAAAAUCGGUCAAAUGUUUCUUUCCACCCUUCAUGAAACAGACUUCAACCAAUAAUCCCAACUCAAAUCCUACCCAAUAAUCAGUGAUUAUUAAAAAAUGCAGUGUGUACUUGAGCCAAGAUUUUCUCAUAAACAUCCCUUGAAGAAUCUUGGCAAUUCCAGACCAUUUGACCUACUAAGAAACAUUGUUAAAGCACAACAUAUUUGUUAUUCAGAUGUUUUAGGAACAAGUAAUGAUGUUUCAAGUUUUGUCAUUGUCUAAUGAGAUCCUUGAUGGGCUGAUUUGAAUGUUUCACAUAGGAAGUAGUACUUGCUGCUGUCCUGACUGAAGUUCAAACCCGUUGCCUAAGUUCUUCCAUGAUCCGUUUGAGUCUGCUGGAUGAUGAAGUUAUGAGCUGAUAUAUCUGGAAGCAGUGGCACAGAGCUCAGAAUGGACCUGUGGAACAGUAAAAGGUGAAGUGAAAGUGUGUUUUUACAGAUCUUUUAUAGUCCUCUUGAGUGCAUCAUUUGACUGCCAUCUUUUCUAUUUCAAAAAUUCUCAUAUUCUGAUUUUUGUGUCUCUUUGCUGCAUUGUUUCUUGGAACAUUUCAGACAUUCCUAAUGACCCCAGGAAGACUUUCUAUAAAACCAGUCUAUAAAAAACAAAACUAAUGAAAAGGGGACAAAAGCAUGCAGUUCGUCACCCCUGGCUUUCCAUCCAGUUGUGCAAAGAGUUCAUUUUACAAAUCAUAAAUUGUUAUUCUGUAGUUGGAGAGAGACACAGACAUUUAUGUGGGUUCUUUAUAGUGCUGCAUCUAUUGUUGCUCACGCUAGCUUACCCAUGUUGGCAUGGACGUUUGGAUGUGGCCUUAACACCUCUAUGAUUGGCUGCGACUCUAAUUGCAUUAGUGGUUUGGGGAAGCGGAUUCUCUGGGCUUGAUGUUUGGGUCAGCAGCUCUAUGGUUAGAGGUGAAGGCCUAAAGUGCUUCAGCAGGAUGCUGCUCCGUGUGCUUGAUAAAACCAUCAAACGUGAUUACCGGUGAGUGCUAAGAGCAUCAUUCUCCUAAUUCAAUAGCUCUCAUUUUCAGAGAACAUUUUACAGGGAUUUUCAUUUUUACAGGGAUGGAGAUGAUUAAAAAUUUAGAGAUUUGUGUAUAUGUUUUUCUCUCUGGUAAUGUAAGUAGGUUGAAUUGCGUAUGUGCUUUAAUGAUGUUAAAUGAUGGUGCUUCCAAAAAAAAAAAAAAAUAAAAAAAUAAAAAUCCUCAUUGGCUGAGCAUUAAAAUCUGUUUCAGUGUUUUUGAGUGAUGGGGUGUUAAUGGAAACAUCAGAAAUCUGACCACAAAAUACACUCUACAGGAUCAAAUCCCAAGGAUGGGGUGAUCUGCAUGUGUAGUAUUCCAGGACAUAUUUUUGUUAAAAGGCAGAUUUUAUUUAUUUAUUUUUUGGUAACUGCUUUUUUUUUAUUUAUUUUUUUUUAUGUUUAACUGCUGAGUGUGUGUUUAUGCCCACCCAGUAUUCAUCCACUAGAAUGAGCCCAUGUUAAAGGUGCACUAUGUACAUUUUUUUUGUUCAGAAUUAAUACAAUGUCAAUGCACCAUCAACCCUUCUUCUAAAACGUGUUUUUAUAUUACUCUAAUUCACUAUGGUAAGCCUGUUAUAAGUGUUUAUAUUUUAGACCUGUUGGGAUGAUUUUCAUUUGUAAAUCCAUACGUGCAUCACUGGUCCGUGUUUGUCUUGUCAUAUCCGUAAAUAGAG